rnacentral:rRNA from 3 species
UACGGAGGGUGCAAGCGUUGUCCGGAUUUAUUGGGUUUAAAGGGUGCGUAGGCGGCCCAUUAAGUCAGUGGUGAAAGCCCGGGGCUCAACCCCGGAACCGCCAUUGAUACUGGUGGGCUUGAGUAUGGACGAGGUUGGCGGAAUUGAGGGUGUAGCGGUGAAAUGCUUAGAUACCCUCAAGAACACCGAUUGCGUAGGCAGCUAACUAGGCCAUAACUGACGCUGAGGCACGAAAGCGUGGGGAGCGAACAGG